rnacentral:misc_RNA from 1 species
GUAUUAUAUUUAAAGGCAAUAAAGCCUGUCAAUGACAUUCUGUGACAUGCAGUGUAUAUAAAAAGUACAUAGACCGGAAUUACAAGAGAAGCUGGCAUUGAAGCACAGCAAACCCUCAAACCGAGGCUAGCCUCGAGAAAUAUUCCAGAGCCUACAGGGGGUGCACAGGUGGUAAAAUUUGGUGCUAGGCGUGCACAUAUCCCGGAGGAUCAGCAACAGCCCAACCAAUUUUAUUCAAUAAUGAUCCUUCCGCAGGUUCACCUACGGAAA